CACAUGAACAUCGACAUUUUGAACGCAUAUUGCGGUCCAUACUGACUAGUUUCUUAAUCGAAGCUGUAUGGACCACACAUGGUUGAGGGUCGUUAGUUUAUGCUAACUAAAUUGCUUUUGUUUUCCCGUAAAAAGGAGAAUAUUAAGCUACAUCAUGAGGUGUUGGCGACCUUAAGUGUGUCGGCAUCCCUUGAAGACUGCCUUUGGUACACAAUUUUAUUUUUGUGAAUGCGCUUGUUCCCGUAAAAAGUAACAGGUAGUUCUGUGGAAAAUAUAUAUACGUGUAUUUUCGAAGUUAGUAAACUUUGAUUAAACGUUUGAAAACUUGAUUGUUUUUUUAACGUAUUUGAACGCUAUCCUGAAAGCUUCGUCUAUACACAUUUUUCCAUUCGAUAUGCAUUCUUAAUGAAAGUAGAAUUUGAUCAAAAUCCAAAAAGCGACCUCAACUCAUGUGAGACUA
rnacentral:rRNA from 1 species